GAUGAACGCUGGCGGCGUGCCUAAUACAUGCAAGUCGAGCGAACGGACGAGAAGCUUGCUUCUCUGAUGUUAGCGGCGGACGGGUGAGUAACACGUGGAUAACCUACCUAUAAGACUGGGAUAACUUCGGGAAACCGUAGCUAAUACCGGAUAAUAUUUUGAACCGCAUGGUUCAAAAGUGAAAGACGGUCUUGCUGUCACUUAUAGAUGGAUCCGCGCUGCAUUAGCUAGUUGGUAAGGUAACGGCUUACCAAGGCAACGAUGCAUAGCCGACCUGAGAGGGUGAUCGGCCACACUGGAACUGAGACACGGUCCAGACUCCUACGGGAGGCAGCAGUAGGGAAUCUUCCGCAAUGGGCGAAAGCCUGACGGAGCAACGCCGCGUGAGUGAUGAAGGUCUUCGGAUCGCAAAACUCUGUUAUUAGGGAAGAACAUAUGUGUAAGUAACUGUGCACAUCUUGACGGUACCUAAUCAGAAAGCCACGGCUAACUACGUG
rnacentral:rRNA from 1 species